GGUAGCCUAGUGGUUAGAGCGUCCGCCUCGGAUGCAGGAAGUCAUGGGUUCCAUCCCCGGUCGACCA